rnacentral:rRNA from 1 species
UCACAGGUGGUGCAUGGUUGUCGUCAGCUCGUGUCGUGAGAUGUUGGGUUAAGUCCCGCAACGAGCGCAACCCUCGUUCCAUGUUGCCAGCACGUAAUGGUGGGGACUCAUGGGAGACUGCCGGGGUCAACUCGGAGGAAGGUGGGGACGACGUCAAAUCAUCAUGCCCCUUAUGUCUUGGGCUUCACGCAUGCUACAAUGGCCGGUACAAUGGGUUGCGAUACUGUGAGGUGGAGCUAAUCCCAAAAAGCCGGUCUCAGUUCGGAUUGGGGUCUGCAACUCGACCCCAUGAAGUCGGAGUCGCUAGUAAUCGCAGAUCAGCAACGCUGCGGUGAAUACGUUCCCGGGCCUUGUACACACCGCCCGUCAAGUCACGAAAGUCGGUAACACC